rnacentral:snRNA from 1 species
UUCAGCCCUUUGUCGCUAAGA